UACAGAUGUGGCAAGCGUUGUUCGGAAUUACUGGGCGUAAAGGGCGCGUAGGCGGCCUUCUAAGUCAGACGUGAAAUCCCCAGGCUUAACUUGGGAACUGCGUCUGAUACUGGGAGGCUUGAGUGCGGGAGAGGGAUGUGGAAUUCCAGGUGUAGCGGUGAAAUGCGUAGAUAUCUGGAGGAACACCGGUGGCGAAGGCGGCAUCCUGGACCGACACUGACGCUGAGGAGCGAAAGCGUGGGGAGCAAACAGG
rnacentral:rRNA from 1 species